rnacentral:rRNA from 1 species
UACGUAGGGGGCUAGCGUUGUCCGGAUUUAUUGGGCGUAAAGAGCGUGUAGGCGGCCAGGUAGGUCUGGUGUGAAAACUCGAGGCUUAACCUCGAGAUGUCAUCGGAAACCAUUUGGCUAGAGUCCGGAAGAGGAGAGUGGAAUUCCUGGUGUAGCGGUGAAAUGCGCAGAUAUCAGGAAGAACACCAAUGGCGAAAGCAGCUCUCUGGGGACGGUACUGACGCUGAGACGCGAAAGCGUGGGGAGCGAACAGG